rnacentral:lncRNA from 1 species
AAGGGAGGCUAUGAUUUUAAAUAGUGAGGUCAUAGAAGGCUCAGGGAGAGGCAGAUCUCUGUGCAGGUAUUUGAAGGGGUGAGGAGGAAGCCAUUGCAAAGACCCUGGGGCAGGAGUACCCUAGAAGCCUUAGCAGCUUCUAGGAACAGCAGCAGAAGCAAAAAAGGACGUUGGUGCUGGGGCAUGGUGUGCUGGGCGCCAGGAGCUGCUAUAGCCUUCAUUUCCUCCUCCUAGUGAAACAGAGACCCUCAGGACUUCCACCUCAAAGUUCAUCAGAUAUUAUUACUAAGGGACAUCAAAGCCCAUUUCCCCCUCUGCCAGUAUCUUCACCCCAUUCCAGACCCUCCAGGAAGGAAGCUGCUGCUCUGUCCUUUUUCAGAGGCCACCAUGCCUUGCACCCUGCACAGUCACAGCAGUCACCCUGUGCUAACACCAAGUCUGAAGCCUCAACCCUUCAAGCUCAGAAAUCCAGUGCCUGCCCACUCC